GGCUGGGUCAGCCGCGCUCGUGUGCAAGAGGGAUUCGCCAGCAGCUCCGCGCGCGCGCUGCACCGCGUCUCAUCUCAAGUCGGGCAGGUCCCCAACCCCCCACCGCACAAACCCUAGCCUCCCAAGCCCGCAGCGCCGCCCUCCUCACUCCUCCUCCAUCUUUCCUCGCCGGCCGCCGCCGCCGCCAUUCCGCUUCGCUCCUCUCUGUCCGAUGGCCACGCCAGUGGGAGGAAGCCGCCGCACAAGAGGACAGGAGACGCCCGUUGGCGAGCUUCUGGGCAGGAAGCCGAUGGGGAGCACGCCAUCAACGAGCCCCCGGGGAGGAGCUAUCGGCCGGUCCUAGGUCGUCGACCAAAGGCCGCCGGUUGCGCUGUCGUGAGAGGAGCAGCAGGGGAGGAGAUGAGGAUAUACCGCCGGCGCCGGACUCCCUCUUCCCUAGCUGCAUCUUCCCCGACAAUUUAUUCCAGUGCCCGAUUCAUUGUCCGUCUCAACCAAACCUCACAUGGUGGUGCGAAUUUAUGCUAGGAAUAAAUGUUCCAGGGUUGGAGAAGAGGGGGUUGAGCAGCAGCUGAGCUUAGGUACAGAGCUAAUGUUCAGUUCAUUGUCUCAGGCAUGGAUUGACAGAUUCAAAAUUUUCUUAUACACUUGCUCGACGCACACCAGCUAGGCAGGCCAGGGGAUGAAGGUACGAUGCAGUGAGUGCAGCAGCGGCAGUGGGGAAACCCCUCCUGGCCGAGCCUCAUCCCUAGCCUCUACCUGCAGAGGAGAACCCCAGGAAAGCUAAAAGUUUGUGGAGGAGCGCCGACACAGUUUUUUAGAGGGUAUUUCGGACUCAAGAUUGAUCUGGUAGUGCACGUGGUGUGGUGUGCCAUAAGCAAGAAUAUCUUAUCUGCGCCAUGACAAUAAGGGCUUGCUGCAGCUAGGCAGUUCUUGGGAGUAUGGUGCUUCGAUUUGGUUCCUGUGGUGAAUUUGUAGUGACACUGUUACCUUCAGAAUUUGAGAUGAACCAUUUCCAGAGCGUAUAUGGAGAGCCUAGAAGCAGCAGGGGUCCGCGGAGCAGCGGAUGCGGUCGAUGGAGUAGCAGGAGCAAGGAGCUCGAGAUGGUUCAGGAAGAGUGCCUACAGAGAUUACAGAACUGGAUAGAGGUGCCUUAUGAUAGUAUAGCUAAAGAACAACAGGUAUGAGUAGAUGACACUACCACCUUUGUGUUUUAUUUUUAUUUGUUGUGAUAUUUCACACACCCCAUAUUGGCACCCCCUCUAUAUUCCCACUCUUAUAGACUUGCAGAAACACAUGCUGCUUGUCUCUAUUUAUCUUGGUCUUUACAUUAUAAAUUAAAACGUAGCUGGAAAGAAUUAUGGGUCAUUUUGGCAUGAAGCUCGAGAAUGAUAAUACCACCUCAAGUGGGGAUAAAGCAGAACAAGAAAUAGAUGAGAUGUAAUUACUGAAACUAGAAAAAAUACUCUUCUGAUUAUGCAUAUGUAAAGUCAUGAUUAUGUGUGGACCAGAUGUGUGCUCUUUUCCAUUGCAUACGAGAUUGUCGGUUAAAAGAGUUUUUUGUCUUCCAGCAAUGAGCUUUCAUUUUCAUUGUGGAGGUUUGUUCGCUUCAUCUCCUCUGGUUAUUUUUUUCAGUUUGUCUCUUCAGAAGUUUGGGUGCCUCUGUUUUGCUACUUUUUAGUUCUCAUCAUUAAGGUUUGUAUCUUUCCUCCCCUCUCAGAUUGUUGCAUCCUUAUUGUGUCUCAUCGUUAAGGUGGCACAUACAAGUAUUAAUUUGUUGAGUUCUGUUAAAGUACCACUGAAAAUUCAAAUUCUAUAUACUUUACUUUUGGCUAUACACGAGAAUACAGUACACACAUUUGAUUAGUGAUUAAAUGUGAAGACCAUUGUGCAUGUUUUUCUGAAUGUGGAUUAAUUAAAUUUUAUUGCUUUAUGGUGAGAUGAAUAUGUUGAUUAUAAUGAUAUAAUGUUAAGAGAUUUUCAAGUGUAAGCUUGUAGCAAAUUAUCUUCUAAUCCAGACUCCAUAUCAUUAUUUAUAUUGUAACACAAAUGUGUUCUAUUAUACUCCCAGCCUUGGUACAUGAAGGCAUGAUAUUACCCCUCUCCCCCUGCCCCUUCUAUGUAUUUUUGAUUUGUUUGUGUGACUAUUGAAUGGUGCUUGCAGGUCCAUGGACAUUGCUAGAAUUUUCACUUUAUUGCAGUGUCGUAUUUCCAGAUCUCAUGUUCCUCAAGGUGACAAGGCUUUGGAGCCAU